rnacentral:lncRNA from 1 species
UUUGUGAUAUGACGUAUAAAUGUAAUGUUAUGUACUUCAGAAAUUUGUCUUUGAAACAAUUGUUAAUCCACAGAAAACGCAUUUUUUUUCAGAAAAUAACCAAAUUCGGAGACCGUUAUUGAUCCAUGUCUUGUGCGCGCAUACUUACGGUCGACGUACUUCCCACAAAAUUUUUAAACUUUUUAUUUUAUCACUUGCCCGUAACGUGAUUUCGCGCCGGCAUCUUCAUAGUACGAAUUGAUUUAUACCACUAAACAUGACAGUAAAGGAACAAGACUUGAAAGAAUUGAAAAUUAAGGCAGUGUUUCAAUUAAUCCCUUUACACAUGCAGCAUGCACUUGACAAACCGUGAAUUCGUGAAUGUUCCUCAUUGGCGAGAAACAUUGAGACAAACGCUCUCAACUUGAUCACUGCAAAUUCACAGUUUUGGGCGAAAUUCUGGCCGAAGAGGUCGAAUUGUAACUGAAACAAGACCUUAAAUACUGAAAAGGUGCACUCACAUUUCAUUUUGCAUAAGGGUACCAUAGACUUAUAGUAAAGUUAUAUGUUCUAUGGUAUCUAUUUUACUAUAAUUUUACUAUAAUUUU